CAUUGGACGAACCAGACAUCAGUAAUGGGCAAUGUCUUGCCGCUGCGUACCACGCAGGGAAGUUGCUUGGCGACGAGGCGCUGUAGCUAACAUGAAGUUCCUGAGCACGCGAGCCUCUCCUGCGUCCUCAUUGGCUGCCCAGUGAGGUGCCGCCUCCAGUCUUCCUCUCUCCUUGGUAGAAAUUGCUUGGACGCUUCUGGGCGUUUCGCAGUUUGUCUUCGCUGAACGCCGAGAGUAGAAGCAGUUAGGAUGCCGCGUGGAAGCCGAAGCCGCACCUCCCGGGUGUCUCCCCCGGCCAGCCGGGCCCCUCAGAUGAGGGCUGCUCCCAGAAGAGCACCUGCAGCUC